ensembl:lncRNA
GCAUGCUGCUCCCUGGGGGGAAAGGCCUGUCCUUCUCUCACAAUUUUCUUCCCCACAGCUCCAGCUGCGAUUUUGCUGAGUUUGCUGCCACCCCCUAAGAAAGACGUGAAGGGUCCAAGGAUUCCAAGGAUUGACCCCCCAGGCAAGGUAACAACUCACUGGAAGCUUUUGAAACUUCCUCAGAUGAACAAAUUUAUGCAGGCCUUUUUCUUCCUCACAGUUGUUUUCAGCUGAUGAAUUUCCAGCAUACAACAGGCGUUCUUAUUAAUUCCUAAAUGCAUGACCUUGCAUACUGAACUACUUCAAUUUCAUCCUAUUGCUCUUGCUCCAAUUCUCAAGGUGACACAUUCCUCCUGCACACUGACAAUUGCUCACAACUUUUGUGAUCACUGCAUUUCAUUAUUGGACUCCUGCCUCUGUGUCAAGGACUCUAAUGAAAAUAUUAAAUAAAAUUGUCCCAAAUUGAAUCCUUUGGGGGCUCUAUUGAUGGUCUCAGAAUAUCAUUAAGUCUUACACUUUACUACUAAUUGCACUAUAUUAUUUACAUUGUAGUAGCAAUACAAGACUCAACCACCCUCUACCACUAUGCGUAUAUAUACACAAUAGAAGACAGCCACUGUCCAGAGGAGCCAACAGCUCAAACUGAUAACUAGAGACAGGUUGGAAGUAGUAUUCAGAGCCAGUGCCAAACAAAAGCACAUAAUUGCCCAAG